rnacentral:rRNA from 1 species
AUUGAACGCUGGCGGCAGGCCUAACACAUGCCAGUCGAGCGGAUGAAGGGAGCUUGCUCCUGGAUUCAGCGGCGGACGGGUGAGUAAUGCCUAGGAAUCUGCCUGGUAGUGCGGGAUAACGUCCGGAAACGGGCGCUAAUACCGCAUACGUCCUGAGGGAGAAAGUGGGGGAUCUUCGGACCUCACGCUAUCAGAUGAGCCUAGGUCGGAUUAGCUAGUUGGUGGGGUAAAGGCCUACCAAGGCGACGAUCCGUAACUGGUCUGAGAGGAUGAUCAGUCACACUGGAACUGAGACACGGUCCAGACUCCUACGGGAGGCAGCAGUGGGGAAUAUUGGACAAUGGGCGAAAGCCUGAUCCAGCCAUGCCGCGUGUGUGAAGAAGGUCUUCGGAUUGUAAAGCACUUUAAGUUGGGAGGAAGGGCAGUAAGUUAAUACCUUGCUGUUUUGACGUUACCAACAGAAUAAGCACCGGCUAACUUCGUG